rnacentral:sRNA from 1 species
ACCUCUUCUCACUCUC